AAGAGAGCACCAAAUCCCCGGAUGAACACAUGGCUUUGUUUGUUAUGGAACAUUAAACCGAAUACUGAAUGGGUAGGCGUUACGCCAUUGGCUGAAAUCAGCACUUUAGAGGAAUUUCAUCUUUCAGCUUUCUUGGCCCCGGGAGUGUUCGGUCUCUGAUCAGCAGGGGCAUUUUCUCUACAUAAGAAGAAAAUGGAGAUUCCCUACCCACCUGAUGUAUUUUGUCGGACAGUUUUCUGUACAUUGCAGUCUCCAAUAUAUCCAAAUAUCAUCACCGCCCCAGACGUCAUUCACUCCAUUGAAUUGUGCUGGAAGCAGUAAGGUAUCAUCAUUUGAGAUGGUCACAGUAUCCAAUACAGUGAAGUCACAGGACUCAAAUUUCAUACAUGUUCACAGGUAGGUGUAUAGUCUUUGAAAUUACCACAAUUGACUAAUUCUGAGAUAGGUAAGUAUGUGAGUAUAGGAAAGAGAGCACCAAAUCCCCGGAUGAACACAUGGCUUUGUUUGUUAUGGAACAUUAAACCGAAUACUGAAUGGGUAGGCGUUACGCCAUUGGCUGAAAUCAGGUAUUUAAUUGUUUUCAUUUUAAAGUAAAAUUAAUGACCUUUGAAAUAAAUGAUGGGAUGAGGGAAUAUUACAGAAACUAUAGAAAUACCAGGGAAGAUUUUAGGAGUGGGGGUUGAUUUUUUAUGCCGCGUGUUAUUUACUGCGAAUCUCUAUAAGUUGAAAAUAACUGCAAUUUUGACCUAUAAACGCCAUGGGACCAUAUAUUUUUUUCAGUAUUUUUU